AUUGAACGCUGGCGGCAGGCCUAACACAUGCAAGUCGAACGAGUGGCGGACGGGUGAGUAAUGUCUGGGAAACUGCCUGAUGGAGGGGGAUAACUACUGGAAACGGUAGCUAAUACCGCAUACCAUCAGAUGUGCCCAGAUGGGAUUAGCUUGGUGGUGGGGUAACGGCUCACCAAGGCGCCGAUCCCUAGCUGGUGUGAGAGGAUGACCAGCCAGGAUGGAACUGAGACACGGUCCAGACUCCUACGGAAGGCAGCAGUGGGGAAUAUUGCACAAUGGGCGCAGGCCUAAUGCGGCCAGGCCGCGUGUAUGAAGAAGGCCUUCGGGUUGUAAAGUACUUUCAGCGGGGAGGCGUUACCCGCAGAAGAAGCACCGGCUAACUCCGUGCCAGCAGCCGCGGUAAUAC
rnacentral:rRNA from 1 species